rnacentral:misc_RNA from 1 species
CUCAUUUUAUAUUUGUAUGAAUCUUUGGUUUUUUUGUCUUGAGAAAUAUACAUAAGCUAAAGAUUGUGAAGAUAAUCGCUCGCUAAAAUAACCAAAGAUUCAUACAAAUAUACGCAAACAUCCGUUGAGAAACAAUUCUUGUUUACUUUGCCCAAGUGAUUCUCCUAUUGAAAUUUCAAGAGCAUCUGCAUACCAAAUGUAAAAUGAUAGCCCUCACCUAAUGAAAUAAAGCUGAAAAUUUUCUUGAUGCGAAACCACAGGUGCUACAUACAUAUAACGGUAUUAAAGACACCUGUCAAAAUCUAGGAACCAAACAAAAAAGAUCAUUUAAAUUUGCCUUUGCGCUUGCGUUCUUGAUUCCUGCCACAUUUAGUUGGCUUGCCCCAUGGUGUUUGUGACACCCUUCCAAAGGAGCCACUACUUUUGCUGCGACCCUCACCUCCACCAUGAGGAUGAUC